rnacentral:rRNA from 1 species
UGCAAGUCGAACGGUAACAGGUCUUCGGAUGCUGACGAGUGGCGAACGGGUGAGUAAUACAUCGGAACGUGCCCGAUCGUGGGGGAUAACGCAGCGAAAGCUGUGCUAAUACCGCAUACGAUCUACGGAUGAAAGCAGGGGACCGCAAGGCCUUGCGCGGACGGAGCGGCCGAUGGCAGAUUAGGUAGUUGGUGGGAUAAAAGCUUACCAAGCCGACGAUCUGUAGCUGGUCUGAGAGGACGACCAGCCACACUGGGACUGAGACACGGCCCAGACUCCUACGGGAGGCAGCAGUGGGGAAUUUUGGACAAUGGGGGAAACCCUGAUCCAGCCAUGCCGCGUGCAGGAUGAAGGCCUUCGGGUUGUAAACUGCUUUUGUACGGAACGAAAAGAUCUCUUCUAAUAAAGGGGGUUCAUGACGGUACCGUAAGAAUAAGCACCGGCUAACUACGUGCCAGCAGCCGCGGUAAUACGUAGGGUGCGAGCGUUAAUCGGAAUUACUGGGCGUAAAGCGUGCGCAGGCGGUUAUAUAAGACAGAUGUGAAAUCCCCGGGCUCAACCUGGGAACUGCAUUAGUGACUGUAUAGCUAGAGUGCGGCAGAGGGGGAUGGAAUUCCGCGUGUAGCAGUGAAAUGCGUAGAUAUGCGGAGGAACACCGAUG